GAAAUGCGAUAAGUAAUGUGAAUUGCAGAAUUCAGUGAACCAUCGAAUCUUUGAACGCACAUUGCGCCCGCCAGCACUCUGGCGGGCAUGCCUGCCCGAGCGUCACUUCAGAAACCCUCGAGCCGCCCGGCGGCUCGGCCUUGGGGGACCGGCGCCCGCGCCGCCCCCCGAAAUGCAGUGGCGACCACGCCGCGGCCUCCCCUGCGCAGUACAAGAACCUCGCACCGGAGCGCGGACGCGGUCACGCCGUGAAGCCCCGACGCCCUUGAGAGUUGACCUCGGAUCAGGUAGGGAUACCCGCUGAACUUAA
rnacentral:misc_RNA from 1 species